CAGUCGCCGCGGGAAUACGAAGGGUGCAAGCGUUAAUCGGAAUUACUGGGCGUAAAGCGUGCGUAGGCGGUGAGUUAAGUCUGCUGUGAAAUCCCCGGGCUCAACCUGGGAAUGGCAGUGGAUACUGGCUCGCUAGAGUGUGUCAGAGGAUGGUGGAAUUCCCGGUGUAGCGGUGAAAUGCGUAGAGAUCUGGAGGAAUACCGAUGGCGAAGGCAGCCAUCUGGCCUAAUACUGACGCUGAGGUACGAAAGCAUGGGGAGCAAACAGGAUUAGAUACCCCGGUAGUCCCUGUCUCUUAUAC
rnacentral:rRNA from 1 species